CGCGGGAUGGAGCAGCUCGGUAGCUCGUCGGGCUCAUAACCCGAAGGUCGUCAGUUCGAAUCUGGCUCCCGCAA
rnacentral:tRNA from 1 species